ACCCUGUAGACAUUUGGCAAUGAAUCCGUUCAGUAAGCAAGGAAAAGCUUUAGCAAUUCUAAUCCGUUUGACGGCCCUCUAAGAGUGUUAUAAUGCGAUACGCCGUUUACAUUAUGUAAUAAAUUUACAGUAGAUGUGGCACUAGAAGAGUAUCGUUGGAUUUUAAAUGCAGUAGUACCCUGCAUACUGUGCCCUCGACGUCUGUUGCCACUCGUAACAACUACAGGCGACUCAUCAAAGAAAUGCAUACGGUUGCAAUCAAUCAAUGAAAUAUUUGCUACGUAAGCUUCUAACUUCUCCAUAACGUCCGGCCGUUCUGUCUCUCGAGGAAUUUGACUUAUUAUCUUGUAAGAGUAACCAAGAUCUUUAUUCAAAAUUCUACUAAUGGAUGACCUGCUAGAUAUUCAGCGUAUGCAAUAACGUCAUCUGUACGCGUGGUUCGAACAUCACGUUCGCCCUGGCGAGGUGCAAUAGAACCAGUGUCUACCCAUAGAUCUAUUAUAGUUGAUAUAGUCUUAUACGGUAGAUUUAGUUGUUUCAAAAUGUUUGUCAAACGCUGGUUAUUUAACCACCUUUCAA